rnacentral:rRNA from 1 species
GAUGAACGCUGGCGGCGUGCUUAACACAUGCAAGUCGAGCGAAGCACUUAAGUUUGAUUCUUCGGAUGAAGACUUUUGUGACUGAGCGGCGGACGGGUGAGUAACGCGUGGGUAACCUGCCUCAUACAGGGGGAUAACAGUUAGAAAUGACUGCUAAUACCGCAUAAGACCACGGUACCGCAUGGUACAGUGGUAAAAACUCCGGUGGUAUGAGAUGGACCCGCGUCUGAUUAGGUAGUUGGUGGGGUAACGGCCUACCAAGCCGACGAUCAGUAGCCGACCUGAGAGGGUGACCGGCCACAUUGGGACUGAGACACGGCCCAGACUCCUACGGGAGGCAGCAGUGGGGAAUAUUGCACAAUGGAGGAAACUCUGAUGCAGCGACGCCGCGUGAAGGAUGAAGUAUUUCGGUAUGUAAACUUCUAUCAGCAGG